UCUUUCUUUGUCUUUUUCUCUCCCUGUCUCAGAUCUCAGAUGAGGAACAAAAUCUAUUUUAGAGGAAUCGUUUACGUCUUUGAAAGGAAAAGCGCCUGAAAAACCAGAAAAUUGGUAUGUGAGGCCCAUAAAUAAAAUACCAAUGAGACAGGCCGAAAUAUUCGAAGAAUUCGACAAAAAAAA